AUAUGCGUUACUCGAAGAUGGGCAGCGGGAAGUUGGACCUCAUGAAUGGGAUCCUUUCUUCUCCAAACCGAAGGACGGGGAUUCCAGUGAUACAUCGGCCGAAGCUGCAAAAAAUUCAUGGAAAAAUGAGCAGAGAGACAAAUCAUGAAAUCGACCAGGUGAAGUUCAUUGAUACAUCAGUAAACAACAUACUCUUGGUGAUUGUUAGCUCAAUAGAAG
rnacentral:misc_RNA from 1 species